CCUUUCAUUUUAUUACAUUUUUCGAUCAACCAAUAAAAAAAAUUCAAAACUCACUGGCGAUCACAAAGCACAAGAUUCCCGCCAUCCAAGCAUAUAAAGCAACAUCUUCUUCAUCCUUCUUCCUCCGAGGUACCGGCACCGGCGCUAACGAAGACAUGAUUCUCGCUGGAUUCUUCGACGGUCUUCCCCGCCUCCGUUUCAUGUCAACGACUUUGUCACCUCCCCCAUAUCACCACCAUCUCCACAAACCAAAACAUCGACGAGAUUCAAAUCCUCCGUUGGCGGAAACUUCCGGCAACAAAUUAAAGGCCCAGCAAAAAACAGCCUAGACCUAUGAAAUCGAGAUUGGUGGUGCUUCAAAGCCUACAUGGCUGUCUCCAUUACCACUAGAUUAAUCCAAAGGUGUUAUGGAAAAGGUUAACGAAGCAGCGGGGAUGGAAAUUGAUGAUCCAAAUUCAAACAUUUCUGACCAGAUCAGCCUCAAGUUCUCAAUCAAUGUUGGUUUCCGUUUUGCUAAGUUGGCCAAUUGGAGGAUGACCUGGACGCCGGCCACUGAUGAUGAUGACGGUCGGUUGUUUGCUGAUGGAGGGUGUUAGAUUAAAAAGUUUGUAAUUCUUAAAGGGACUAAAAAGAAAUAUUUCAUUUUGUAAAUUUUGCAACAAAAUAUAA